rnacentral:rRNA from 1 species
GAUGAACGCUGGCUACAGGCUUAACACAUGCAAGUCGAGGGGAAACGACGGGGAAGCUUGCUUCCCCGGGCGUCGACCGGCGCACGGGUGAGUAACGCGUAUCCAACCUGCCUCUGACUGAGGGAUAACCCGUCGAAAGUCGGCCUAAUACCUCAUGGUAUCUUCUGCGGGCAUCCAACGACGAUUAAAGAUUUCAUCGGUCAGGGAUGGGGAUGCGUCUGAUUAGCUUGUUGGCGGGGUAACGGCCCACCAAGGCUACGAUCAGUAGGGGUUCUGAGAGGAAGGUCCCCCACAUUGGAACUGAGACACGGUCCAAACUCCUACGGGAGGCAGCAGUGAGGAAUAUUGGUCAAUGGGCGAGAGCCUGAACCAGCCAAGUAGCGUGCAGGAAGACGGCCCUAUGGGUUGUAAACUGCUUUUAUGCGGGGAUAAAGUGAGGGACGUGUCCCUCAUUGCAGGUACCGCAUGAAUAAGGACCGGCUAAUUCCGUG